ACGAAGAAGAAGCAGCCGGAAGCGUUCAGCUGUCAGUUUUGUAACAACAGUUCAACACUGAGGUUUGUAUGGGGCCAAACAAAACAAAACACGAAGCCACAGUUUCAUUCAUUGCUCUGUUUUAACGGCGGCAUGGAUCCUCCAGAGGUUGCCGAAGUGGAAGCUGCUUCUACCGGCCCACAGCAGAGCCCCAAACCGGAGCUUUCUGCUACGAUGCGGGCUAAGAUCGAGAGGAACCGGCAGCGGGCGUUGAUGCUCCGCCAAGCCCGACUCGCGAGUCGCCCUUUGUCCGCCGUGGAGGGCGCAACUUCGGCCAAAGUUUCCAAGACCAUCGACUCCGGUGCUGGCUUCUUCAUCGAGGAGGAGGAGGACGGAGAGGCGGAGCAGCAGGCCAAGAAGGUGGUGCACCAGCCAGCUCCAGUGAUCGAACCAGAGUAUCUGCUGUGUGAUGACUGUCAAAAACCCUUCAUGGACUCCUACCUCAGCAACAGCUUUGACUUAUCUGUGUGUGACAAGUGCAGAGAUAACGAAGAGAAACACAAGCUGAUCUCCAGAACGGAGGCCAAGCAGCGUUACCUGCUAAAGGACUGCGAUCUGGACAAGAGAGAGCCUCCUCUCAGGUUCAUACUGAAGAAAAACCCUCAUAACCCACGGUGGGGAGACAUGAAGCUCUACCUCCAGCUACAGGUGGAGAAGAGAUGUAUGGAGGUGUGGGGCUCAGAGGAGGCUCUAGAGGAGGCCAGAGAGACGAGGGAGGAGAACAGAGAGGUGCAGAAACAAAAACGCUUCAACAAGAAGGUCAAAGAGCUGCGCAGGGCAGUGAGGAGCAGCAUGUGGACCAAAAACACCAGCGCUCACCAGCAUCAGUACGGACCAGAGGAGGUGGUGGAUCCAGAGGAGGACCUCUACAAGAAAACCUGCACCACAUGUGGUCACGAACUCGCCUACGAGAAGAUGUAGACACUCGCACAAUGACUGUUCCAGACUCAAGUCAACUCGGACAAGACGUUUGGUGCUUCUUCAGUGGAGAUCUAACCAGUCAAUGGAAAACCCCACAGAGGACAGACAGAGAGCGGAGAGAGGGGGUGGAGGUAUGGCACUGCACACACACAAACAGGGGCCUUCACACAUCAGUCAGACAGCCCUCUAGUCAGGAGAACCCCUGGCUCACCUUCACACAGAUUCACAGAUCACACACACACACACACACACACACACACACACACACACACACACACACACACACACACACACACUGAAGUUGUGCUGACAUGAAUGUAUGCAGUCACUUUGACUCACAUAAACAUGCCUCCCCCCUCCCUGCAAACACACUUCAAAGGAAGAUUGUAACCUGACAGGCCGGCAAAACACUAAGAACCCACAUACGCACCUUUUUUUUCUUUUACCUAAUUUUUCCUCUCAGAAACCCACCUGUUUCUUACAAACUUUCAAGUCAGUCUCUUGCCUUUACUUUUUCAUCUCUCUUGCUGUGUCUCAGUCUCAGUCAGUGUCCGUAUGCUGGUACUCAGGUGCUGUUUGUCUGAUGUUCUUCCCCUCUCAUCCUACUCUGUACACCCCUAUCAGAGGAUUAUGCACACACUGAACCAUGUCCUAACUAGACACAAUGUAGGUACUGCCUGUUCAGCUGGGCUGAUAUGAACCACAGCUCUGUGUAAUCUUAUCUGAGACAUGUUGCUAAGCUGAUGAGCCACGAUGCUGGCACCAACCUAUACAUGACAAUAUCUCCCGGAUGUGAAAUGCAACAGGAUACAUAAAACUAUUUUUAGACAAAUCUGACAGAGCAGCUGUUUCCAGAUGUUGAAGGAUGCAGGCAGUGCUGAGCUCUCACUCAGUGUUUUGUAAGGUCAGUCAGGCUUUGUUGAGUUGUUUUGCUACAGUUCUGUGGGUGCUGAAACAGGAAGGUUCAAGUGUUCAGAUAACCCUAUAGAAACUGUUAGCCUCGACAAAGUUAAUUUAAGGUUACCACACAUUAUGCAGGGGCAAAUCCCUGAAUCACACAUGGUCUUCCGGUAAUUCUAGUGCGGUGCAAAAGAGGGCUUAAGGUGUGCUAAAGUAAUUCUAAAGAUUGACAAGUUUCUGAGCUACAGUAACUAAAUCACGCUUACUCCAGUUUCACUUUACUUUCAAAGUAUUACCUUAAUCUAACUGCAAACAAAUCAUUAGAAAACUUACAAAUACACUGAAACAAACAGACACAUAAAGAGCACAAUAGUCUGAACUCAAGGACCAUUUAAUAGCUUUUGAUCAUACUGAUAGAAUUUACCAGGUGUCAUGGAAUGGCUGUCCUAAGCGACAUCUUAUUUUGUGACUGUUGCUAUUCCUAUCAAGCAGUAAGUUGUGCGUAUAUGCAGCUUACAGUGAUAAUGGAAGUACAUAAUGGAAGUAGAUUUAUUACUUUUAAUUCUUUGCCAUUUUUCAGAUAAUGUUUCCUAUAUUUCAGACAGAGGUAGACAAAAGCAGGUUUCCCAGUUUAAGCCAGUGACAGCUGAGUUUUCCAAAUUAAAUAAAACUAAAUUCACGCUAUUUGUUUUAUUGAAUCUUGAGAUGUUUGAAAAAGAGACUUAGACAUGAAUUCAAUAGCUGCAUAGAAAUUAUGCAAAAAACUUAGUUAUUGGGAACAAAGUUAACAUUCUCAUCAGGAGCAACAUUGUGUUUUUCAUAUAGAGAGAUUGACCGUAUGUGCAGUAGAUUAUAAAAAGCAAAAAGUUAAGAUCAGACAGUUACAAAGUUGGUCUUAGCAUUAUAAGAAAAAGGGUUUAGUGGAUGAUAACUUAUUACUAUGACAGAGUUUAGCUGGACAAUUGUAGGUAGUAUUUGAGUAAAGUGGGCAAGCUAUGGUUGGUAGUAUGUGUUUGAACAAAAAACAGAUGGUUUAAUCUGCUCCUUACACUUUCCUCUUGUUUUUUGUAUAAUCUGACAGAACUGGUGUUUAAACAAGACUCACUUAUUUUAUGCAGAAUGUAACUAUAACCCAAUGUACAUGACAAGCACAUUAAAUCCACAGCUUCACCGGCCUUCAGUGCCUAGUUACGGUUGCUAAGCUGUUAGACAAUUUGUAAUAAUGGGGAUGGGGUUAGCAAAUGGCCGCUUGGAGAUGUUUCGUUUUCAAUUUUAUCAUCAAAUGAUCAUCGUCUAACAACUGGACCUUGAGGUUUUGCCAGCUGCUGCUUCAAAGGUCAGUGGGGAACAUUGACACUCAGUGUUUAAGCCAACAUGGAGAAAAUGGCAAUAAAGGCUCAGAAAAUGGAAAUUUAAAUAUAUGCAAUUUCACAACAACUGGGGAAACACUAAAAGACAAUGAUAUAUGAUGGACACAUCAACAACAACUAGAUUAUGGUCCUUGGAGCGCAGAAGCACUGUUUCCAAGACCAGGUAAUAAACUCAACAUACAAAGAUGUUUGAAACCUAAUACAUAAUCUCUGCUUUAUACCAUAAAAUUUUAUUUUUGACUACAACAGACUGCAAAAAAAAUACCACAGCUUCUUCUUUCUCAUUUCUGUCUUUCUUGUUUUUGCUAACAUUUUAUUUUUGCAAAUGCAUAACAUUGUCACUAAUAAAUAAUUAAUAAAUACUAUUUGUGACAUUUAGUCAGUGGGUGGUAGUUGAGAUGGUGAAGAAGUUUCAUGAGGUGGUUGUACAACAAGGGUCCAACUGGCUGAGAGUCAAAACACAAGUUAUGUUGAAUACUCUGUGACCUUUUCCCCUUCCAACUUCAUUUUCUAACCCCAGCACUCCUGAAGUCUGUCUCUCACCUUUGCCAAAGUGACAUCUGGCCAAUUCAGUCUCCGCUGUGAUAAGAACAAGGGAUGACUCGCACAAGAGAUAAAGGGAUGAUGAAGGGGAGAAUGAAAUAAUGCAGCAGAGCACUCAUCCUGCCAGUCACUUGUCUAAUUGCAGUGUCUGUCAGAGGAAACAGGUCUCCUCACACAGAUGAUUUCAUGCUAUUUUUCUCCUCCUUUCCCAUUACUCCCAUCACUCCUAUCUCUUUUAGCUGACUGGUAUUCUCAACUUCAAAUUUUGAUGCUUUCAUUUAGAAACAAGAUGUGAAUAGUAGGUCUUAUUGUUUUUAACAGACUUUAUAGGCAUUGUACACCAGGACUGGAAUGACAAUCCAGUUAUCACUUUCUCAGGAACAGGACAUGUAGAGUCUGCAAUGUGCACGUUUUUGCAUGUACCAUAUUGUACACACCACUGCAUGAAUACUGGAUGCACACUGUGCAGUGUAUUAAAGGAGAACUCCAGUAAUUGCAUGUCAAAGAUAAUUUACUAGUUUUGGGGAAUAACUAUUCAGACUGUUACUGUAGCUCUAAAGGAGAAAGUCUGAGAAAGAAUUCCCAAGCAGUAUCACUUCAGUUCUCUUGGUCUCGACAUGGGUAGGAGAAACACAUAUUUGGAGCUAAUCAUGUCACAUUUUGAGGAUUUUUAAGAUGCAAUCUUUUUGGCACUUCACUAAAAACACUGCACCUCUGUCUCAGCUUCAUUGGCUAGGACCACAAAAAUCUGCCUCUUGCAAGUCCUUUACUCUUUUGGGUACCAGCUUUAAGGUUAGGUUUUACCUCAGUUUGUCAACAUUAUUAACCAAAUUGGCUGAAAUAUGGUGUAACUCUGAAAACACACUCUGAAAAACUCAUAGCAUAAGAGCUGUCCUGUACAGAAGUGGUUCGGUGCAUUUUUCAGUACAGUGGAGAAAACAACAACAACAGAAAUCUUUUAACAAAAUCUAAUUACUCAAUGCCCACAUUUCUUAAUGUAACAGAUGAGAUACUAAAUGCUGCAUAGUGUAAACAAGAAAGUGUGAGACUAUUUGCCAAAUAUAAAGUAAACAAACAAAUUAAAAAAUCCAUUAAGACCAGUGCAACAGAUUCGUAAUUAACUUGACUUAAUCAUUAAAAACGGCAGUGCAAUUUCAGCUUCAUAAAUUGUGCAAAGUAAUGCUGCCUGUUUCUCUCUUUGGCAAUAACUAAUACAUUAUAAUUCCCAGUUGCUUCGGUAAUGGUUUUGGCCGCAUGAGUUCAUAGACAUUGCUUAAAAGCAGCUGAGGUAAGUAAUUUUUUUUUACUUUAGUUUUUUUUUUCUACUCUGGUGAUUGUCACAUCAAAGCGAUGCCUCUGAAUAUGUAUAUG